UACGAAGGGGGCUAGCGUUGCUCGGAAUCACUGGGCGUAAAGGGUGCGUAGGCGGGUCUUUAAGUCAGGGGUGAAAUCCUGGAGCUCAACUCCAGAACUGCCUUUGAUACUGAAGAUCUUGAGUUCGGGAGAGGUGAGUGGAACUGCGAGUGUAGAGGUGAAAUUCGUAGAUAUUCGCAAGAACACCAGUGGCGAAGGCGGCUCACUGGCCAGAUACUGACGCUGAGGAACGAAAGCGUGGGGAGCAAACAGG
rnacentral:rRNA from 1 species